UGGGGAAUAUUGCACAAUGGGCGCAAGCCUGAUGCAGCCAUGCCGCGUGUGUGAAGAAGGCCUUCGGGUUGUAAAGCACUUUCAGCGAGGAGGAAGGUGGUGAGCUUAAUACGCUCAUCAAUUGACGUUACUCGCAGAAGAAGCACCGGCUAACUCCGUGCCAGCAGCCGCGGUAAUACGGAGGGUGCAAGCGUUAAUCGGAAUUACUGGGCGUAAAGCGCACGCAGGCGGUUCGUUAAGUCAGAUGUGAAAUCCCCGGGCUCAACCUGGGAACUGCAUUUGAAACUGGCAAGCUAGAGUCUCGUAGAGGGGGGUAGAAUUCCAGGUGGUAGCGGUGAAAUGCGUAGAGAUCUGGAGGAAUACCGGUGGCGAAGGCGGCCCCCUGGACGAAGACUGACGCUCAGGUGCGAAAGCGUGGGAGCAAACAGAUUAGAUACCCUGGUAGUCACGCUGUAAACGAUGUCGAUUUUGGA
rnacentral:rRNA from 1 species